rnacentral:rRNA from 1 species
UACAGAGGUGGCAAGCGUUGUUCGGAAUUACUGGGCGUAAAGGGCGCGUAGGCGGUCCCGUCAGUCCCUUGUGAAAUCCCCCGGCUCAACUGGGGAACUGCAAGGGAUACAGCGGGGCUUGAGUUCGGGAGAGGGAAGCGGAAUUCCGGGUGUAGCGGUGAAAUGCGUAGAUAUCCGGAGGAACGCCGGUGGCGAAGGCGGCUUCCUGGACCGAUACUGACGCUGAGGCGCGAAAGCUAGGGGAGCAAACGGG